UUGGACACGGGGCCUUUUGUGAGGUCAUUAAGGUUGAUAAGGUCAUAAGGGUGGGGCCCUAAUCCCCCAGGACUGGUGUCCGUAUAAGAAGAGGAAGAGACACCAGAGAGUCUGUGUGUGUGCAGAGGAAAGGCAUGUGAGGACACUGGGAAAAGGUGGCUGUCUCUAAGCCAAGAAGAGCAGUCCCACCAGAAACCAACCCUGCUGUCACCUUGAUCUUGGACUUCGAGCCUCCAGAACUGCAAGAAAAUCAAUUUCUGUUGUUUAAGCCCCCAACUGAACAGCUCAGAUCCAGUGAGUUCCUAAGACUUGGCCAAGAAGGCUCUGCAGUUAGUGAAGCACAGAGACUCGAAUCCAGGACCCACCUCCAGCCCCUGGGAUACAGAAGGAAAACUCAAACUCAGGGGCUCAAGGACAUGUCAAAGGCACAGACAUAUGUUCCUGCAUUGAUCAAAUCAGGCUGUGCAGGUGGUUCGCUGCUCUGUGGACCAGCACAGCACUCGUAUCUAGUGGGUGUCUGAUAAAUACAUGCUGCUCGCCAGAAGGAACAUCAAGAGUAGAAGCCCAUUGCUCUCUGGUGACUUUUGUUUUCUUUCAGAAUGCAUAAACAGGGGGCCUGCUCUCCACGUGUAAACUGAUCUGGUGCAAUUCAGAUAGAAUAUAUUCUAGGACUGGUGCCUUCUUCAACUCAUGCAAAUAAAAGUGCAGCAUGGUCCAAAGUACUGGAGUCAUGAGAAGGUUAUCAUCUUGGAAAGAACACAGUGGUGGCACUAUCUCUGCAAGCAAAGGUCAAGAAAUUUGUCUCUAGAUGUCACAAGAAAAUCAGAAUAAGUGCAUAUUGCUGUAUUCCAAACUGUGACCCCAGGAAGUCAACAGACAGCCCAACUGCUGCCACUGCCCACAGGAGGCAGUUGGUACAGAGAUGACACUGAAGGGGACAAGACUACGAGCUACAUUACCAACAAAGUCUUGACUCACAAAAUGAUAUUUGCUUCUGGUCGCCAAUUGGACUUCUGGCUCUCCUCAACCAGCUUGUUAAUGGGAGUUUUUGUCAAAAAGAGCACUGAGUAGGGGAGUGAAUGAUGUGUGAAGCUAGAAAUUGUAAAGAAAAAGCAAUACAGUUCAGUAGGGAGAGUGCAGAUUUAGACUAGCAUCUGGGUCUGAGAUCCCACUUCUGUGCGACAGCCAGGAGCAAGUUCCUUUCUCUCUCUGAGCCCGUGUGUUCUCAUCUAUAGACUGGGGAUAGUACUACCUUGUGGGGGGUUAUGCAUUUACAAUGCUUAAUACUUGGAAGGCAUGCAAUAAGUGCUAACUAUUAUUACUAUUAUUAAUCUGUUGGAAACGAAAAAUUCAAAGCAUUUCUCUAUUACUUAUUGUGGAAUAGUACUGACGUCUUUUCAUAAUUUAAGUCCAUAUUUCAGAGUAAAAAAGACAUGAUGAUUGAUAUUUACUGGUUUGACUUAUAAAGUAAGAGUGACUUUUUACGUUAACUGACACACAUUUGAUUAGAAGCUUGGUCCUUCAACUUUAAAAAAUAAAGUAAUAAUAUUGAAACCGUAGAAGUAAAUCCUAGCAGCUGCUUGAGGAAUAAUUUCAAAUUGUGCAAGAUCACAAAUGAGAAGGCUAGCUAUCACUUGGAUGACUGUGUGUCAGAUUCUGCUCCUGAGACCUUUAUAUCCGGUAACUCACUCAAAUGAAGUAUGAGCAUAAUUAAUUUAAUAAGCCACUGUUGGGGAACUCUAGUAAACAUAUUUGAUGAGUUGAAAGGCGUGGUCUGAGUUCUGUGUUUGUUCAACCUGGGAGUUUGUUACUAGAUCUGGG
rnacentral:lncRNA from 1 species